GAUGAAGAACGUAGCGAAAUGCGAUAAGUAAUGCGAAUUGCAGAAUUCCAGUGAGUCAUCGAAUCUUUGAACGCACAUUGCGCCCGCCAGUAUUCUGGCGGGCAUGCCUGUCCGAGCGUCAUUUCAACCCUCGAACCCCUCCGGGGGGUCGGCGUUGGGGAUCGGCCCUUUCACCGGGUGCCGGCCCCUAAAUACAGUGGCGGUCUCGCCGCAGCCUCUCAUGCGCAGUAGUUUGCACACUCGCACCGGGAGCGCGGCGCGUCCUCGUCCGUAAAACACCCCAAACUUCUGAAAUGUUGACCUCGGAUCAGGUAGGAAUACCCGCUGAACUUAAGCAUAUCAAUAAGCGGAGGA
rnacentral:misc_RNA from 1 species